GGCUCUGCUUCGGGUUGGCCGACUUCAUACCUGCCCGACUUCUAUUGAAGACAACAAAACAAAAAGAUACUGCAGCUGCAAGGUCAUCCCGGGGUAUUUACUGUUUGCUUAAUGAGCCUCGCACGGGGGAAACCUAAACCUUCAUUAAAUCUUUAGGGCGUCUGGUCUUCUACUCUGUGUGUGUGUGUGUGUGUGUGUGUGUGUGUGUGUUGUCUCCAAUGACUAGAGGAGUGAGAGUGUCUAAGCACUUAUAUGAGGUGGUCCUUUGGCCAUUUAGGAAAAACAAAGCAGGGCACACUAAUCAGGCCUGGCUAAAUAUGUUUACAUUAAAUGCCGUUUCACUUCUAAGAACUAAAAGAUGGGCCUGACACUGAGCAACAGCUGUAUGUGACCAUCCUUGUGUAAUAAUAAUAGAAUAUGAAUGUCUGAGCUCCUAGAGAAUCACACGGUCUCGACCUCUCUGCUUGAUAAACCACAGUGCAUCACCCUGGGGUUCCAGAAUUGACUGCACCUUUCCAAAAGCACCUGUGACCUGCGAGUCACAUGCAGCUGUCGUCGUAGUGACGGCAUUGUCAGAUACCCGAGUUGGGUGCUGGCGGGGAGCCUAGGCAGAGGAGAGCCAACCUGCUGAGGAGGUAGUCUGGGCGAAGAGGACACAGAGGACAGACGCCUAUUAUCUAUCAUCAUGCCGAGAAAACGCGAUGUGUCUUCUGAUGAUGUUGGGAUAGAGAUAGACGGGGAUUUGAGUGACAGUGAUGAUGGUGCCACCCAAAGGAGAACAAACAGGAGGCAGGCAGCAGGAAGAGGAGGUGCAAGGGCAAGAGGCCGGGGAAAGAAGCCAGCCAGCGAGGAUGAAGAUGAGGAUGAUGAAGAGGAUGAAGCUCCCAGGGGACGCAGGGGAGCGAACAAGAAGAAGCCCGCAAAGAAACGUGGCGGUGGUGACGAUGAUGACAGCGAGGACGAGGCUCCCAAGAGGAAGCGGGGAGGAGCGGCCAAUAAGAAGAAAGGAGGCAAAGCCCAGGACAGUGAUGAUGAGGACAGCGAUGCGGGAAAAGGAAAGAAGGGGAAGAAGGGAGGAAAGAAAGGAGGGAAAGAUGAGGAGGAGGAUAGUAAGGGAAAGAAAGGUGAUUCCAAAGGGAAGGACAAGGGGAAAGACAAGGACAAUGACAAGAAGAAGAAGAAGAAGAAGGACGACAGGUAAGUCAGAGCACACCAGAGGUGAAAGCAGUGCAUUAAUGUUCUUCUUGGGGGGAAGAACUGACAAUAUGAGAAAAAAUGCAUAACUUAAAACUUUAUUGUUAGCUAAAACAAUGUUCAUGCUGUGACACAUGUU
rnacentral:lncRNA from 1 species